GCCUUGGCAGUUAGAGGCGAUGAAGGACGUGUUAAUCUGCGAUAAGCUUCGGUUAGGUGGUAAAUGACCUAUGAUCCGGAGAUUUCCGAAUGGGGGAACCCAGCAUCUUUUGUAGGAUGUUACCUUUAAGUGAAUUCAUAGCUUAUUGGAGGUAGACGCAGAGAACUGAAACAUCUAAGUACCUGCAGGAAGAGAAAGAAAAUUCGAUUCCCUGAGUAGCGGCGAGCGAAACGGGAACAGCCCAAACCAACAAGCUUGCUUGUUGGGGUUGUAGGACUCAAAUGUGGUAGUAAGCAAGAUAGCCGAAUGACUUGGAAAAGUCAGCCAAAGUGGGUGAAAGCCCCGUAGGCAAAAUUUUGUGAACACCUAUGAGUAUCCUGAGUACGGCGGAACACGAGAAAUUCCGUCGGAAUCUAGGAGGACCAUCUCCUAAGGCUAAAUACUCCCUAGUGACCGAUAGCGAACCAGUACCGUGAGGGAAAGGUGAAAAGCACCCCGGGAGGGGAGUGAAAUAGAACCUGAAACCGUGUGCCUACAACAAGUUAGAGCCCGUUAAUGGGUGAUAGCGUGCCUUUUGUAGAAUGAACCGGCGAGUUACGAUUGCAUGCGAGGUUAAGUUGAAGAGACGGAGCCGUAGCGAAAGCGAGUCUGAAUAGGGCGAUAGAGUAUGUAGUCGUAGACCCGAAACCAUGUGAUCUACCCAUGUCCAGGUUGAAGGUGCGGUAAAACGCACUGGAGGACCGAACCAGGACACGUUAAAAAGUGUUUGGAUGAGCUGUGGGUAGCGGAGAAAUUCCAAUCGAACUUGGAAAUAGCUGGUUCUCUCCGAAAUAGCUUUAGGGCUAGCCUCGUUGUGAGUUUACUGGAGGUAGAGCACUGUUUGGACUAGGGGCCCGUCUUGGGUUACUGAAUUCAGAUAAACUCCGAAUACCAUUGAUCUAUACCCGGGAGUCAGACGAUGAGUGAUAAGAUCCACCGUCGAAAGGGAAACAGCCCAGAUCACCAGUUAAGGUCCCAAAAUUCAUGCUAAGUGGAAAAGGAUGUGGAAAUGCAUAGACAACUAGGAUGUUGGCUUAGAAGCAGCCAUUCAUUCAAAGAGUGCGUAAUAGCUCACUAGUCGAGUGAUUCUGCGCCGAAAAUGUACCGGGGCUAAGCAUGAUACCGAAACUGUGGAUGCAUCGUAAGAUGUGUGGUAGGAGAGCGUUGUAAGAGCAUUGAAGCUGUACCGUGAGGAGCAGUGGAGUUCUUAGAAGUGAGAAUGCCGGUAUGAGUAACGAAAGACCAGUGAGAAUCUGGUCGGCCGCAAGACUAAGGUUUCCUGGGGAAGGCUCGUCCUCCCAGGGUUAGUCGGGGCCUAAGAUGAGACCGAGAGGUGUAAUCGAUGGAUAACAGGUUGAUAUUCCUGUACUAGUUUAUUUUGUUUGAACGAUGGAAGGACGCAGGAGGAUGAUGUGUGCGCGCUGAUGGAUAUGCGCGUCCAAGCAGUAAGUCUUGAUAUGAGUCAAAUGCUUAUAUCUUUAAGGACAAGCUGUGAUGGGGAGUGAAAUUUUAGUAACGAAGCACAAUAACUCACACUGCCAAGAAAAGUUCCUAGUUAGAAAUAAACUACCCGUACCGCAAACCGACACAGGUAGUCGAGGAGAGUAUCCUAAGGUCAGCGAGUGAACUCUCGUUAAGGAACUCGGCAAAAUGACCCCGUAACUUCGGGAGAAGGGGUGCUGGUGUAACAGCCAGCCGCAGUGAAUAGGCCCAAACAACUGUUUAUCAAAAACACAGGUCUAUGCUAAAUCGUAAGAUGACGUAUAUGGGCUGACGCCUGCCCGGUGCUGGAAGGUUAAGAGGAUCAGUUAGCUUUUGCGAAGCUGAGAAUUGAAGCCCCAGUAAACGGCGGCCGUAACUAUAACGGUCCUAAGGUAGCGAAAUUCCUUGUCGGGUAAGUUCCGACCCGCACGAAAGGCGUAAUGAUUUGGG
rnacentral:rRNA from 1 species